UACGGAGGGUCCAAGCGUUGUCCGGAAUCACUGGGUGUAAAGGGUGUGCAGGCGGACCUGCAAGUCAGUGGUGAAAUCCCGCAGCUCAACUGCGGACGUGCCAUUGAAACUGCCGGUCUUGAGUCCCGGAGGGGCCAUCGGAAUUCGUGGUGUAGCGGUGAAAUGCGUAGAUAUCACGAGGAACACCAGAAGCGUAAGCGGAUGGCCAGAAGGUGACUGACGCUCAGGCACGAAAGCGUGGGGAGCAAACAGG
rnacentral:ncRNA from 2 species